UUGUGACCAGUUCAAUGGAGAAUUCCCCGAGGCGUUUGCAGGCUGGUGUAAGGGAUUACUUGCUGGAGUAUAAAUGCAUCAAUGCAAUGGCCGCAGUAUAGUGUCCAGGGAUUGACAUAGAUCCCGGACAAGUUAUUGCGCUGCAGUGUUUCGGUAAUGAUUUCACUGCCAGAUUUUGUUCAGUUUUCAAGAACAUGCUUGAGGACAUUAAUUGAAACGGAUCUUCCUAAAGAAGCUAUCUUUGAAAGCUUGCCAGUUGUAUAAAUCUAUUGAAAUGCACUGAAUGUCUAGCAAAACAACAGGACCUCUGUAACAAAUCCAAAGUCUGAGAUCUGAAAGAAUGGUUUGUGCUUCAUUCAGUUGGUGCUUGAGUGUGAUCAUGAUUUGCUACCUAACACGAGCAGCCUGGUGUCUGAAUCCUGAUGAUCCCAAUGUGUGCAGCC